rnacentral:rRNA from 1 species
GAUGACGCCAGCGCCAGGUUUAACACAUGCAAGUUGAGGGGAAACGGCAUUGAGUGCCUGCACUCUUUUGGAUGUCGACCGGCGCACGGGUGAGUAACGCGUAUCCAACCUUCCCAUUACUGUGGGAUAACCUGCCGAAAGGCAGACUAAUACCGCAUAGUCUUCGAUGACGGCAUCAGAUUUGAAGUAAAGAUUUAUCGGUAAUGGAUGGGGAUGCGUCUGAUUAGCUUGUUGGCGGGGUAACGGCCCACCAAGGCUACGAUCAGUAGGGGUUCUGAGAGGAAGGUCCCCCACAUUGGAACUGAGACACGGUCCAAACUCCUACGGGAGGCAGCAGUGAGGAAUAUUGGUCAAUGGACGGAAGUCUGAACCAGCCAAGUAGCGUGCAGGAAGACGGCCCUAUGGGUUGUAAACUGCUUUUGUAUGGGGAUAAAGUUAGGGACGUGUCCCUAUUUGCAGGUACCAUACGAAUAAGGACCGGCUAAUUCCGUGCCAGCAGCCGCGGUAAUACGGAAGGUCCAGGCGUUAUCCGGAUUUAUUGGGUUUAAAGGGAGCGUAGGCUGGAGAUUAAGUGUGUUGUGAAAUGUAGACGCUCAACGUCUGAAUUGCAGCGCAUACUGGUUUCCUUGAGUACGCACAACGUUGGCGGAAUUCGUCGUGUAGCGGUGAAAUGCUUAGAUAUGACGAAGAACUCCGAUUGCGAAGGCAGCUGACGGGAGCGCAACUGACGCUUAAGCUCGAAGGUGCGGGUAUCAAACAGG